UUAAGGUGAUGAUAUUGUAGUGGUGUUUAUGGUGUUGUUGAAGAGUUAAGAGAAAAGAGUUAUGGGGUUUGGUUGGUGUUUUGUAUAUGUUGAGUUUUCUGAUGAAGAGAAAUGAAGAGGAUGUGUUGUUAGGAGAGGAAAGAAGAGAAAAAUUUUACGUUGGUUUGUCUAGUUCUAGAGAAAAAGAGUUGUGGUUGUUAUGUUGUUGUGUUGUUGAAGUGUUGAGAGAAAAGAAGAGAUUGAAGUUGGUGUUGGUUGGUG
rnacentral:lncRNA from 1 species